rnacentral:tRNA from 1 species
GGGCGCAUAGCUCAGCGGGAGAGCGGCGGCCUUACAAGCCGUUGGUCACAGGUUCAAAUCCUGUUGCGCCCA